AUCUUGGAAUAUAAGUUCAGAAAGAUGUUAUCUUGGGCAUAUCAAAAUCUUCAUUGUCAACAUUUAAGGAUCAUUUGCAGUGAGGAUACUUUCACAGCAUAUACAAUGAAGCCCAUCAGCGUCAUUUUGGCACUAUGCGUUGCACUAAUGAUGGUUACAACAGUUUUGACUAAGGAAGUAGGUCGACGUUCGACGACUUCCCAACCGACCUUCGGGUACUUCAUACGCAAAUGCAGAAAGGAUCCAGAAACUCUGAAGUGCAAAAAGGAGCACGCUGGCGACCCGGGUGACCUUGAUGCCGGAUCAAGUCCUUGUGCCGAGCUUUUUAAACAGUGUAUAGACAAAUACAAGCAGUCGCUGAUGAGCCCGUAAAUCUAUCCAGCUCGUCCUUGUCUUUUAAAUUGACAGCCACGUGAUGUUUUGAACCAGCACGAUAGCAGCUAGUACCUUUUUCAUUCUUCUUUUACUUGAACAGCUUCAAGAGAUCUUUAAACAAUUUGAAAUAAAUGCGUUACACAGG